rnacentral:lncRNA from 1 species
UUCUCCUUACAAUUCUUAUUCCUUAGUUAAGAUAUAGUAUAUAAUUAUGUCUAAGAUAAUUAUUAGUAGUAGAUUACUUAUUAUUGCAACAGAAGUUUGUCCUUCAAAAUUUGUGGUGAAGCGUCCACUUCCUAAAGUGUUGGCAACCAUCAAUGUAGAAGAGUCUUAUGAUUUGGCCAAAUCAGUGAAACAAAACACAACAUGACAUGUACAUCUCUUAUAUAUAGCUCUAUCA